rnacentral:tmRNA from 1 species
GGGUACGUAAUGGUUUCGACGGGGACUGUAAGAUAUGAUAAGCGUAGCGGGCUGGCUAAUCCCGUAUAAUGGCUAAACUUAAAUAAUAAACGACAACAGAAAAGUUGCUAUGGCUGCCUAACUAAUUGCCCCUCGGGGCGAUUAGUGGCAGUGCCGUGGACAUAAGCUCCACCCGUUCCUCUGGGGAGUACCUCGACCCCGGACUGAGCGUAAAAUGAGAGGUGAACAUGAACCGAGAGUUGCCUUUGUAUCGGUCAUGCAUAAAAAGGCUACCCGAAUAAGAGCCUGUUAAUCGGCGCUUUGUAGGGGAAUUUUAAUAGAUUAACUGCCUACGGAGAAAUUUAUAUCAAGUGGUUUUCGGACGCGGGUUCGACUCCCGCCGUAUCCACCA